GAUGAACGCUGGCGGCGUGCCUAAUACAUGCAAGUCGAGCGAACAGAUAAGGAGCUUGCUCCUUUGACGUUAGCGGCGGACGGGUGAGUAACACGUGGGUAACCUACCUAUAAGACUGGGAUAACUUCGGGAAACCGGAGCUAAUACCGGAUAACAUUUGGAACCGCAUGGUUCUAAAGUGAAAGAUGGUUUUGCUAUCACUUAUAGAUGGACCCGCGCCGUAUUAGCUAGUUGGUAAGGUAACGGCUUACCAAGGCAACGAUACGUAGCCGACCUGAGAGGGUGAUCGGCCACACUGGAACUGAGACACGGUCCAGACUCCUACGGGAGGAAGCAGUAGGGAAUCUUCCGCAAUGGGCGAAAGCCUGACGGAGCAACGCCGCGUGAGUGAUGAAGGGUUUCGGCUCGUAAAACUCUGUUAUUAGGGAAGAACAAAUGUGUAAGUAACUGUGCACGUCUUGACGGUACCUAAUCAGAAAGCCACGGCUAACUACGUG
rnacentral:rRNA from 1 species